rnacentral:rRNA from 1 species
UACGUAGGGUGCAAGCGUUGUCCGGAAUUAUUGGGCGUAAAGGGCGCGUAGGCGGCCCGCUAAGUCGAACGUGAAAUCCCCGGGCUCAACCCGGGAACUGCGUCCGAUACUGGCAGGCUUGAAUCCGGGAGAGGGAUGCGGAAUUCCAGGUGUAGCGGUGAAAUUCGUAGAUAUUGGGAAGAACACCGAUGGCGAAGGCAGCCAUCUGGACCGACACUGACGCUGAGGCGCGAAAGCGUGGGGAGCAAACAGG